rnacentral:rRNA from 1 species
CAGCAGUCGCCGCGGUAAUACGGAGGGUGCAAGCGUUAAUCGGAAUUACUGGGCGUAAAGCGCACGCAGGCGGUCUGACAAGUCAGAUGUGAAAUCCCCGGGCUUAACCUGGGAACUGCAUUUGAAACUGUCAGGCUGGAGUCUUGUAGAGGGGGGUAGAAUUCCAGGUGUAGCGGUGAAAUGCGUAGAGAUCUGGAGGAAUACCGGUGGCGAAGGCGGCCCCCUGGACAAAGACUGACGCUCAGGUGCGAAAGCGUGGGGAGCAAACAGGAUUAGAUACCCCGGUAGUCCCUGUCUCUUAUAA